rnacentral:ncRNA from 1 species
GGCUGGGUAGUGGGCAUUAAUAAAAUACCCGUAAGGGAAAUAAUGUCAGCCGUCUAUAUGCGGUGUUCAAGUGCCUGGCCGCCUCUUU